AUUCUGAAGCAUUUAAGAACGACAAAGAUUAAACCUGAAUAUAGCGAUAUUCCGGUCUAAACAGUAAAUACAAAACUACACGUGGCAACAUUUCGACAUAUCUGCAAAAGUCAUCGUAAGAAUCCAAAAUGAAGACCUUGAUCAUCAUCGUAGGUAUAUUAACUAUAACGAUAUCCACCAGGUGGUUUACAGUAUCGAGAACGACCGGUUAAACAAAUACUACGCUAACUUAGCGGAAUGCAGCAAGGAAUUGAAAGGUUCACCAUGUGAGUA